GCUUUAGAAAAUAUAAACAGAUACAGCAAGGCUCUGAUUAAACAAGGAGAGGAUUUUUUAAAAUACUGUCAUAAAGUGUUAUCAGCGUUGACGUCAACUGUAUUUCACAAGUCAGUAUAGCAAUUAGUCAGAGGUGGGAAAAGUACUCAAAUGUCAUACUUGAGUAAAAGUAAAGAUACCUUAAUAUAAAACGACUCAAGUAAAAGUGAAAGUAACCCAGUAAAAUACUACCUGAGUAAAAUUCUAAAAGUAUCCGAUUUACAGUGGUGUAAAAAGUACUCAGUUUUCAUACUUGAGUAAAAGUACAAAGUAAAAGUAAAUGCUAUACAUCAAAUUCCUUAUAUUUAUCAAACCAGACAGCAAAAUUUCAUUUUGUAUAACUUUUUUUGACAGCCAAGGGCACACUCCAACACUCAGACAUGAUUUACAAAGGAAGCAUUUGUGUUUAGUGAGUCCACCAGAUCCGAGAGUAGGGAUGACCAGGGACGUUCUCUUGAUAAGUGUGUGAAUUGGACCUUUUUCCUGUCCUGCUAAGCAUUCCAAUUGUAACUAGUACUUUUGGGUGUCAGGCAGUAAAAAGGAUACAAUUUUCUUUAGGAAUGUAGUGAAGUAAAAAUAAAAGUUGUCAAAAAUAUAAAUAGUAAAGUAAAGUACAGAUUAGAGGUCGACCUCUAGUACAGAUACCCCAAAAAACUACUUAAGUAGUACUUUAAAGUAUUUUAACUUAAGUACUUUACACCACUGGAAAUUAGUAGACCUCAUUAAAAACAAUAAAACACUGGUAAAUGAAUACAGUCUAUUAAAAUACAAUAAUAACUAGUGAUAAAAGCAUAUGGCAGUUUAAAGGCCCAGUGCAGUCCAGUGGCGUAGCUAAACAUUUGUUGAUGGGUGGGCCUGCAGAAAUUUGGGUGUCCCCCCAAAUAAUGUUCAGUUAUAUAGCUGAUCUCAUGCUAUAUUACACAUUUUGCCAUGAGGCUUAGAGAAAAUGUUGCUGUUUUAAAGCUCGUCACAUGCUAUUCUACACAUUUUGCCAUGAGGCUGAGAGAACAUUUUGCAUUUUUAAAGCUAAUUAAAUAAAAAAUAUAGGUGUGUUGACUGUGAUAAGGGCACUGGAUUAAUAUGUUGUCUUGUUUGCUAAAUUAACAAAUGAAGUAGGCAGUGGCAUGGUGCAUAUACAGUUCAUUCGGAAAGUGUUCAGACCCCUUCCCUUUUUCAACAUUUUUACGUUACAGCCAUCUUCACAAUUAUUUUAUUUUUUUAUCCUCGGCAAACUACAGACAAUACCUCAUAAAGACAAAGCGAAAAAAACAUUUUGUUUUUGCAAAUGUAUUAAAAAUAAAAAACAGAAAUACCUUAUUUACAUAAAUAUUCAGACCCUUUGCUUUGAGAGUUGAAAUUGAGCUCAGGUGCAUCCUGUUUCCAUUAGUCAUCCUUGAGAUGUUUCUAAAACUUGAUUGGAGUCCACCAGUGGUAAAUUCAAUUGAUUGGACAUGAUUUGGAAAGGCACACACCUGUCUAUAUAAGGUCCCACAGUUGACUGUGCAUGUCAUAGAAAAAUCCAAGCAAUGAGGUCGAAGGAAUUGUCUGUAGAGUUCCGAGACAGGAUUGUGUCAAGGCACAGAUCUGGUGAAGGGUACCAAAUAAAUUAUGCAGCAUUGAAUGUCCCCAAGAACACAGUGGCCUCCAUAAUUAAUUUAAUAGAAGAAGUUUGGAACCACCAAGACUCUUCCUAGAGCUGGCCACCUGACCAAAAUGAGCAAUCGGGGGAGAAGGGCCUUGGUCAGGGAGGUGACUAAGAACCAGAUGGACACUGACAGAGAUCCAGAGUUCCUCUGUGGAGAUGGAGCAGAACAAUAAGGUCUUUAUGCAUGCUCAGAGAGAACAGAACACUAGGUUACAUGAUGUGGAAAUACAGAUUUGACUUCCACUUUGUAUUUUUUCAUGGUAUUUUCCAAUUGUCUAUCUACCAUUCAACAUGUAUCUACACUGAACAAAAAUAUAAACACAACAUGUAGCAAUUUUACUGAGUUACAGUUCAUAUAAGGAAAGCGUUCGAUUGAAAUAAAUUCAUUAGACCCUAAUCUAUGGAUUUCACAUGACUGGGAAUACAGAUAUGCAUCUGUUGGUCACAGAUACUGUAAUGUUCAGGCAUGACAGUGCAGGAAGACCGAUAAUUGUGUACGACAACACCAACCUAAUAUGACACCACAUGGUGGAUCAAUAGUACUACAGUCAAUACAGUGCAUCAGAAGCAACGCAACAACCAGCCAGCUGCCAACAAGCACACACAAAGGGCUAAAGCAAACAACCAAUGCAGGAAUUGUGGAGGCAAAUACCCACAUUAUGGAGACUGUCCAGUGAAAGGAAAAGAGUGCAAAGCUUGUGGGAAACAAAAUCCUUUGCAAAGCAGUGCAGCUCAAAACCAAAGCAGGAGCAACACAUGGAUACCAGAGCCAUUGCUAAAGACCGAUCAACCAAGUAGGUGAAACACAUAGAGGAGGUGGGAGGCCAAACUCAACAAGCAGUGAUGAUGCCAAGGUGUUUGUAGUUAAGUGACAAAAGCCUUAAACAGCCACAGACACAUUCAGCUAAAUGGUGUCAGAGUAGGAGUUCUGAUAGACUAGAGUAGAGUAGCAUAUCUGAUAGACUAUAGUGGAGUAGCAGUUCUGAUAGACUAGAGUAGAGUAGCAGUUCUGAUAGACUAUAGUGGAGUAGCAGCUCUGAUAGUGUAGAGUAGAGUAACAGUUCUGAUAGUCUAGAGUAGCAGUUCUGAUAGACUAGAGUAGAGUAGCAGUUCUGAUAGACUAGAGUAUAGUAACAGUUCUGAUAGACUAGAGUAGAGUAGAGGUUCUGAUAGGCUAGAGUAGAGUAGGGUAACAGUUCUGAUAGAGUAGAGUAGCAGUUAUGAUAGACUAGAGUAGAGUAGAGGUUCUGAAAGACUAGAGUAGAGUAGAGGUUCUGAUAGACUAGAGUAGAGUAGAGUAACAGUUCUGAUAGACUAGAGUAGAGUAACAGUUCUGAUAGACUAGGGUAGAGUAACAGUUCUGAUAGACUAGAGUAGAGUAGAGUAGCUGCUCUGAUAGACUAGAGUAGAGUAGAGGUUCUGAUAGACUAGAGAAGAGUAACAGUUCUGAUUGACUAGAGUAGAGUAACAGUUCUGAUAGACUAGAGUAGAGUAGAGUAGCUGCUCUGAUAGACUAGAGUAGAGUAGAGGUUCUGAUAGACUAGAGAAGAGUAACAGUUCUGAUUGACUAGAGUAGAGUAGAGGUUCUGAUAGGCUAGAGUAUAGUAGAGUAACAGUUCUGAUAGAGUAGAGUAGAAGUUCUGAUAGACUAGAGUAGAGUAGCAGUUUUG
rnacentral:lncRNA from 1 species